AAGUUCGGUGACCUCUGCCCAGCCGAGAGCAGGGGAUGGUCCCGCGGCCAGGGCCCCUCGCGGCUCACCCUCCACGGCGUGGUUCACCUCUUGGAUGAACAGCUGCAGCUUCAUCACCAGGGUGGCUGCGUGGCCAUCCGCCUUCCCGGACGCCGCCUCCUUGGAGCCGGCCCUGAAGGCCGCAUUGAUCCACUCCUUCACGUCGAAGUCGUCUGCCAGGAACUUGGAGAAGUCCAUGGCGGAACUGUCUCAGGCCUGUCGUCCAGGACUUAAGAGUUGGCUCCAGGCGGCAACGGGGAUGCAGAAGCGAGCGAGCCUGCGAGAGCACCAAGGCUAGCCUCCGAGGCGAACCCCAGAAACGCCAGGACGGGUAACUUGCCCCUUUGCGCUUCCCUGCUCGGCCCACUCAGGUUGCGGCUGGGAAUGACCCUCGCCGCCCGCCGUUCUUCUUCCGGAAGUAGUUGGCCGUUACCAUAGCGACUGCAGGCGUCCGGAGCGCUGAGCAGAGGUGCAGUGGCUCAUGCCUGUAAUCCCAGCACUUUGGGAGGCCGAGGCAGGCGGAUCACAAGUCCCAGCUGCUAGGGAGGCUGAGGCAGGAUCGCUUGAGCCUGGGAAGUGGAGGUUGGAGGGAGCCGUGAUUGUACCACUGCACUCCAGCCAGGGCAGCAGAGCAAGACUCCAUCUCAAAAAUAAUUGUCCAUUUCAUCCAAGUUGUAUAAUUUGUUGGCAU
rnacentral:lncRNA from 1 species